UUUUGGAUGGUCAAUGCAAUCCAGAUCAAAGAGGCUCACCAUGUGUGGAACUUUGGAUUAUCUAGCACCAGAAAUGGUAACAAACAAAGCACAUGACUACACAGUUGACAACUAGACCUUGGGCAUCCUCUGCUAUGAGUUCCUUUACGGCGUCCCACCUUUCGAAGCCGAGAACCAGGAAGAUACAUUCAAAAGGAUUGUGGAGAUCGACUUGAGUUUUCCUCCCACUGCUCAUGUGUCUGCAGAAGCAAAGGACCUGAUCUGUCGGCUUCUGGUGAAGGAUUCUUU